UUUGAAAUACUUUAGUUGCAAAUUUAUUAGGAAAGGAAAUUAUGAGAAAAAGAGAAAAAAUGUAUACUCUCAGUGUUAUACUUUCUUGCAUGAUAUACUUCAACUUUCAAGAACGUGUUUAAGAGUUUAAGAUAACUACCAAAGUAGUUCGUUUGAAUUUGUAUUUUGAAAAAGUUUCUCAUUGCAUAGCCCUUAGCAUUACGAAGCAGAGUAUCCUGAAUAUCUGCAUACAUUUUGCAUCUUUAAUAAAGAUCUUUCUUAUUUUAGGAACUCCAUCUGGUGAAACCACUAUUUCCUCAAAACAAAGUCUAAUGUUCAAAGGCACAAAUUUUCGCCACACCAUGUAUCCAUAAUAUAAGAGCAACCGUGGCCCUACGCCUGAUACGGUGGUUCAAGGACUUCAGUACUUAAAAGCGUCCAUCAAGGCUAUGUCAAUUAAAGUAAUUGAGGUGCCUGGUGUGAAGCUGAUGAUGUUAUAGGAACUCUUGCUUUAAGGAGUGUCAAUGCUGGUUACAAGUAUCACUCUUAAUCACACUGUUGUGAAAAUUGGCAUCUCAAACAUGUUUAUAAGGUGGAAUUAUAUUCUUGCCGUUACAGCUGAAAGUGAAGAUUGAUGGAGACUUCUUUGAGUGGCUAAAAACUCGCCAAAAACCUUUAUUUCUCUAGUGACUCUCUUGUCUUGAUUUCCUGUACUUAUAGCAUUAGCUUAUGAUUUUUUCUCACAAGCUCUUUAUAAUUAACUUAUUUCCCAACGAAUGUCGUCAAAAGCUUUCUAUAGAAUGCUAUUAGUAGUAGAACCAUUAUGGUCAAUUAGCGGACAAAUUUGUUGCGAAAUGCAAUUGUAAGCUUCUUUUAUCAUACUUUUACUUAUUCAUUACUGCAUAUAAAUAUUUCUGGCUGGUGAAAACAUUUCUGUAAUUCUGUGGAAGAUGAACGUUAUUGAAGUACUGGCUUUUAUCCUCUUAAUUGCACCUGGAGUUAUUCUGUUGUUCACUCUGGUAUUCUUGGGGUUGUGCAGGAUGGUCUCAUUUGGCUUGGAAGAUUUUGCCAAAAGAUAUGGAACUCUAAGUCUUCUCAGUUUGUUGAUGUUAUUGCACUUGUUGGUGAUAAAAGUGAUAAUAUCCCAGGAGUAACAGGAACAGGGGAAGUGAAUGUUGUUCAAUUGAUAACGGAAUUUGGUUCUCUGGAAGAAUUGUUGUCUAAUGUUGAUAAAGUACGACAAGAUCAUAUAAGAGAGGUAUAUAUUUAAGUGAAAUUCUGAAGGCAUCUUAGAUUUAUUUGAUAGGCUAUUUAAAUGAUAAACUUGCUAAAGACGAUUAAAAUGUGUUUUGGAGGCAUUCAUUCGCCAACAUGUGGACAGUGUUUUUUGCAUGCCCUGUCAAAGUGACACGAGAAGAUUAAGCUCAAAUCAUUUCGUUGCUUUAUUUUAACUAAAUCG